AUUUGCCUUCAGAUGUCUUUGGGGCCUGAACUUUACAUGGUGAAACGAAUUUCUGAAGAUCCUCCUUGCAAAUGCCCAAACAAGUUCUGUGUGGAGCGGCUCUCCCAAGGAAGAUACCGAGUGGGAGAAAAGAUCCUCUUCAUUAGG
rnacentral:sRNA from 1 species